UACUGCAGCUGUUGUUCAGGUAGUUGUAGUCGCUCAUGUCGGCGCUGACCCGCGAGAUUCCCGCGCUGGAGCUGAGGGAGCGCGACCUGCACAGCUGCGUCACCUGCACCUGACCACAGAGGGCGCCGACGCGCAGGCUGGUCCUCACCACCAGAGUCAGCAGUCCCUUCCUGAUUUGCUGCACAGAUUUUUUUGUACUAGCUUCGUCGUGAGUCAGACCAUGCAGAGACUCUCCAUUCAACUCCAGGAUCUCAUCACCUGUACAGAGACACAGACACGGACGAUGUUACAGAUGAUGAACGCUUGUUGCACGUUGCUGCACGAGUGAACGAGCUGAGCCGAGCUGAGAGAGCGGGAGGGUCGCUGCACGGGCUGGAACACACACACACACACACACACGCAGUGAGAGACACACUUAAACCAAGGAACUCCAGCUGCUGCGACAGUGACUUCCUGUUUCCAUAGAAACCAGCAUUCCCUUGUGUGUGACUGCUGCAGAGCUCGGGGGAUUUCAUGAUGAUGGCGUCCAAGUCCCCGAUCCAGUACGGCUGGACGCCUGGAGACGUGACAGUGACAGGACACAUGGACGGAGACUCACAUGGGGACACGAGAGACGGAUGCUGUGGACUUGUGUUCAGACUGCGUGAACGGAGAGUGUCGUCUUCGUCGUGCGUGGAAUUAUCCUGAGCGCCGGCUGCUGAUUGGCCGUCCUCCUGCAGUGUCCGUUCUCCGCGCCUCUGUGUCCCGCGUGAACAGCAGCCGUGGUCGCCUCCGUCCUCCAGCUUGAACCCUGUGUCCUGCACCACCCGUCCGCCACUCCCACAGAAUUCCUCUCCUCCCCACAGUCGUCGUUGGUCUUGGAGUGACACAGUAUCAGAGACCUGGAGUCAGAAAAAUUUUUUUUUUUGCUAUUUGAAAACGUGGCUGCUUCCUGUUUCUGAACAACCACUUCCUGUCAUCACCAUCAUGGUAUCCAGCAAAUAAGUUUGACAGUGUCCUGGAGAUAUUUGACCUCUACACCGAGGACACAUUAGCCCAGAGGCUGAUACUUGGCCCCUUUAAGGCCCC